rnacentral:lncRNA from 1 species
UUUUUUUUUUUUUUUCAUGCUUCAGGCAGUGUAUCAAACCUAUUAUUGUUAUCAAACCACACUUCUUUCUACCAAACAUCCUGGCCCCUGAGCUAGAUUGUUCCCUGAGGUCAAGGACCACGAAUGAUACUUCACUGCAUGACUCUCAACUCAAUGACAGUCAUACAGUAAUGAUCAAGAAAUUCUUGGGAGUUCCCUGUGGUCUAGUAGUUAGGACUCAGGUGCUUUCACCAAUGUGACCUGGGUUCAGUCCUUGGUCUGGGAACUGAGAUCCUACAUCAAGCUACUGCAAGCUAUGGCCAACAAAUAAAGAAAAAAAAGAAAUUCUUACUAAUGGGCAGAAAGUGUGAUGGGGUUUUCAAAACCAUAUAAUUAAAACACAUUUUUAAAAAUAGUACAACAUAUUCAGAACAAUGAAAUGUAAUCUCUGAAAUCAUAUGCAUAACCAACAGAUACAGGGGUUAAUAGUCUAAAGAACUGGAUAGCAGGUUAGAUUUUGGACUUUGUGGUAGGCAGAAUAAUGGCUCCCCAGAGAUAUCUAAGCUUUAAUCUCAAUAAACUAUGAACACAUUACUUUACAUGGCAAAAGGGACUUUGAAGAUAUUAAUAAGGUUAAGGACCUUAAAUGGGGAGGGUAUACAGAAUUAGCCAACUGGGCCCAACGUAAUCCGAUGAGUCCUUACAAGCACAGAAACUUUCCUAGCUUCCCAGCUACAGUCAGAGAGAUGAAAUGGAAUGAGAAGAAAUUCAAAGUAUGAGAGUGAUACAAUUCUCUACUUCUACUGGCUUUAAAGAUAGAGGGGGCCAGGUGCCAUAGAAUAUGGAUGACCUCUGGAAGAUGGGAAUGGGUUUCAGCUGAUAGGCAGCAAGGAUGCAAAGAUCUCAGUCCUAAAACCAUAAGGACCUAAAUUCUGUCCAAAAAUAAAGGAGGGAACAGAUCCUCUUCUAGGGGCUUCCAAAAGAAACUGUCCUGCUGAAAUCUUGAUUUUAGUUUGGCGAGAUCUGGUGAGACUUACGUCAAACUUCUAACCUAAAGACAUGUAAAAUAAUACAUUUACGUUGUUGAAGCCACAAAGUUUGUGGUAAAUUGUUAUGGCAACAGUAGAAAAUGAAUGCUAAUUUGAAGACAAAUAAUGAAUCUAGAUAAUUCCUAGGUGGAAAGAGUGAGGCAAAAGAAGAAUCUUCCAGAGAGGUGGUGAAGGAAGAAAAGAGGGAAGAGGGAAACCAAAGACAUCAUAGAACCAAGGGCGAGAAGAACUCCAGGAAGGAAUGAUCCAGACCAACAACUGCAAGAGGUCAAAUGGUAUUGGACUGGUAGUCUUUGCCAAAGCCAAUAUUCAAACCUGUGAACCGACCCUUUGAAGAAUUAAACCAGAAGGUGGAAAUAAUAAAGCCUGUGCCAGGUGGACUGGCAUCCUACAAAUGAGUUGGUAAUUUACAAGAGUUGAUUUGACUCUGAUUUGAAUCAAGAGAGGAAAUAUCUUCAUAACACGUAAAGGCAUGAAAUGUGAUUUCUGCCUUCCUUCUGACAUUAGGUUUCAUGAAUAUGCACCCUCAUAGGUUAAAGCAGUUAUUUUAAAAACACUGAAGAUACUAUUUGCAGUCUAAAAAGGGUAGUGAUUUUCUUUGUUCACUGGGAUUUCUGUGGCAUUAACUGUGGAUGUCAAAGAAUUAAAAAGUUCUAUCGAUCACCCACUUCUCCUGUAUGCAUACAAAUUUUGAAUGACAAGAUACCUUUUGUUAUUAAAGUGAAGCUGCUUUAGGCCUACACAGAUGUACUCGUGGGACCUGUCUUACUCACCUCUGCAUCCUUAGCACCUAAUCAACGGUGGGAAUAUAAUAGGUCAGGAAGAUUUCUUUCUUGAUAGCAUUGGUUGAUGAAUGAGGUCUGUAAUAAACUGGUGAAGUCGUCAAAAUAUCCAGAACACAAUUUAUCGCAUGACUUUCAAAGACGCCCAUCACCAUGCAUAGUAUUCAUAAUAUCUGAAUUUAAUCUGGUUAAAGCUUGUACAAAAAAAAAAAACUUACAUUAGCAUCAAGAUAAUAUUCAAAGUACUACAUGUUCCCGCAUACCUCACAGAGUUUUGUUCCAGAAAAGAACUGUUCCCAGAAAGUCCCUUAUCCUGACAAGGCUGGUUUGGCACACACUUAUGAUGUGUGUCCUUGACUAUGUUCAAGUUCACAGAACACAGUACAUACUUUCCUGAAAUAGCAGAGCAUUGUCUUGCCCCACGCAUCCCUGGGAAUACUUGGGUGUUAUUUGAAAAUCACUUGGAGAUUCUCUAGACAGCUUUUUGCACUAUUUCCCAAAGUAGGUCUUCUGUUGUCUUUGUCCACAUUAUCCUUGGCCAGCUUCUUUCUUUAUAGCAUGCCCCAGCUAUAAUCUCCAGGGCUCUCCCACAGCCCACCCCAGCAAGAAGCUAAGCUUGUCAAUUUACUCCUAUGGAAUUUCUGAACUGCUGGGGUAUUUGGAGACUAAUCUCACCAAGAGGAAGAGAAAACUGAUUCAAAGGAAGUGAGGUGAGAUCUUCAGGGAAUAAGGCUGGUUAGCGGCAGAGCCAGGCUCCAGUCCUUGUUUUUUGACUCAAAGGUGAAUGAAUGUUCUUCCCACAAUAUACAAAACGGUGCCGACAUUUCUUAUAGGACCCAACCAAGUCAGAUGGGAUUUGUUUUCCUUGUCACCUUUGUGGAAUGACCCUUUUGGCUCUUUUUCAAAAUAUGAAGCUGAGGGAGUUCCCUUCAUGGCUCAGCAGUUAACAAACCCGACUAGGAUCCAUGAGGAUGUGGGUUUGUUUGAUCCCUGGCCUCCCUCAGUGGGUUAAGGAUCCAGUGUUACAGUGAACUAUGGUGUAGGUUGCAGAUGUGGCUUGGAUCUCAAGUUGCUGUGGCUGUGGUGUAGGCCAGUGACUGUAGCUCUGAUUCGACCCCUAGCCUGGAAAAUUCUAUAUGCUGCAGGUGUGGCCCUAAAAGCAAAAAAAAAAAAAAAUUAAGCUGAUUAAUACUAUCUAAUUAAUAUGUGCAUUCUGGAAAUAUUACCCUCUGGAAAUAUACCCAUGAGUUCUUCAAUUUUGGAAUUGUAAUAUUUUUUUGAAUUUAUAAAUUAAUUAUUUAUCUCUCCAACUCACUCACUGCUUUUCACCCAUACCAAAAACAUACCAUCAGCCAUUUCUUGGAGUUCCCAUUGUGGCCCAGUGGAAAAGCAUACAACUAGUAUCCAUGAAGAUGCAGGUUCAAUCUCUGGCCCCACUUAGUGGAUUAAGGAUCUGGCAUUGCCUGAGCUGUGGCAUAGGUCAGAGACAUAGCUUGGGUCUGGCAUUGCUGUGGCUGUGGUGUGUAAGCUGGCAGCUGUAGCUCUGAUUUGACCCUUAGCCUGUGAACUUCCAUAUGACUCGAAUAUGGCCCUAAAAAAAAUUAUUUUACUCGUUUAUCCAUUUAUUCAUGCAUUUAGUUUUUCAUUCAUUAUUUUAUUUAUUAGUUUAUACACACUUUUAUUCAUUUAUAUUCACUAGCAUUUAUCUAUCACUUUUGACAGUCUGUUCCUAAGCACUAAAAGUACAGAGAUGCUUGCUUGUUUCCUUGCAGUGAAAAGAGAAGGUCACCAAGAGGCUUGGUUUCAUUCCCUUUGUGUGAUCUGUUUUCUAGAAGUGAUAUGGGCAAGUAUAUAAGUCUAUACAAAUAGAAAAAGGGAAGGAGAUUUUCAAAUAGGAAAGCUUGAAAAGGAAUUCUACCCAAAAAAAAAUAGCUUUUGUUUCUUCACUGAAAGUAAUUUACAAAUAGUUUAAUUUAAUGACUGUCAGGCAUAUUCUGUUACUUCUUUGUAAUGAUAAGAGUUUCCUUGGAGACUGGCAAAAUUCAGACUGGCAAACAGAUUUUUAGACUGAUAUAAAGCCACUUUCUUCUAUUUUAAGCACAGCAUUUUGGUCCCUCCUUGUACUAGAUAACUACUUAAACAAAAGAAACGUUAGAUAGAUGAUGAAUAGAUAGAUAGAGACCUUAUUGUCUCAGGGAUUUCUGGCCAGAGAUCCAGGUAGAUGCCUUUCCCUUUUGGCAUGCUCCAAUUAAUCAAUUAAUUCUUUUUACGAUGUGGAGCAUGAAAGUUUCUUAUGAUGUCUGUGAAGGUCCACCUCUCAGAUCUCCCUUCAGAUGACCUUGCUAUGAGGAGCAUGGGGAGCGGACAGCCACCAGCUGCCACACUUGCAAACAAGCCACGGCCAUUUAUGUGGAGGCCACAUUCUCUGGGGGUCGCUCUCUAUUACUAACUAAGCACAGCAGGAGACUAGAGCUGAACAGUUCCUGCCCAAGGUAGGUUCUCUGAUGAGCAGUCUCUGCUCUGGACCUCAUCAGCCUGGCUGAGACUCUCGGAGCUACACGGCAACCUGAGACUUCUUCCUAACUGUCCUUUCUUCCCUCUUUCCUUUACAGACUCUAUGGUACAGACUCUAUGGUUGAGAGCC